rnacentral:rRNA from 1 species
CCCUUAGAUGUCCGGGGCUGCACGCGCGCUACACUGAAGGAAUCAGCGUGCUAAAACCAUUGUCGAAAGGCAUUGGUAAACCCAUUAAAAUCCUACGUGAUUGGGAUCGGGAAUUGCAAUUAUUUCCCUUGAACGAGGAAUUCCCAGUAAGUGUGGGUCAUAAGCUCGCGUUGAUUACGUCCCUGCCCUUUGUACACACCGUCCGUCGCUGCCCGGGACUGAGCCGUUUCGAGAAAAGCGGGGACUGCUGCUGUCGGGGCUUUCGGGCCUUGGCUUCGGUGGAAACCGCUUUAAUCGCAGUGGCUUGAACCGGGCAAAAGUCGUANCA